GGGUUGUGAGGUUAAGCGACUAAGCGUACACGGUGGAUGCCCUGGCAGUCAGAGGCGAUGAAGGGCGUACUAAUCUGCGAUAAGCGCCGGUAAGGUGAUAUGAACCGUUAUAACCGGCGAUACCCGAAUGGGGAAACCCAGUGUGAUUCGUCACACUAUCAUUAACUGAAUCCAUAGGUUAAUGAGGCGAACCGGGGGAACUGAAACAUCUAAGUACCCCGAGGAAAAGAAAUCAACCGAGAUUCCCCCAGUAGCGGCGAGCGAACGGGGAGGAGCCCAGAGCCUGAAUCAGCAUGUGUGUUAGUGGAAGCGUCUGGAAAGGCGCGCGAUACAGGGUGACAGCCCCGUACACAAAAGCGCAUGUGCUGUGAGCUCGAUGAGUAGGGCGGGACACGUGGUAUCCUGUCUGAAUAUGGGGGGACCAUCCUCCAAGGCUAAAUACUCCUGACUGACCGAUAGUGAACCAGUACCGUGAGGGAAAGGCGAAAAGAACCCCGGCGAGGGGAGUGAAAAAGAACCUGAAACCGUGUACGUACAAGCAGUGGGAGCACAGGUUUACCUGUGUGACUGCGUACCUUUUGUAUAAUGGGUCAGCGACUUAUAUUCUGUAGCAAGGUUAACCGAAUAGGGGAGCCGGAGGGAAACCGAGUCUUAAUUGGGCGUUAAGUUGCAGGGUAUAGACCCGAAACCCGGUGAUCUAGCCAUGGGCAGGUUGAAGGUUGGGUAACACUAACUGGAGGACCGAACCGACUAAUGUUGAAAAAUUAGCGGAUGACCUGUGGCUGGGGGUGAAAGGCCAAUCAAACCGGGAGAUAGCUGGUUCUCCCCGAAAGCUAUUUAGGUAGCGCCUCGUGAAUUCAUCUCCGGGGGUAGAGCACUGUUUCGGCUAGGGGGCCAUCCCGGCUUACCAACCCGAUGCAAACUGCGAAUACCGGAGAAUGUUAUCACGGGAGACACACGGCGGGUGCUAACGUCCGUCGUGAAGAGGGAAACAACCCAGACCGCCAGCUAAGGUCCCAAAGUCAUGGUUAAGUGGGAAACGAUGUGGGAAGGCCCAGACAGCCAGGAUGUUGGCUUAGAAGCAGCCAUCAUUUAAAGAAAGCGUAAUAGCUCACUGGUCGAGUCGGCCUGCGCGGAAGAUGUAACGGGGCUAAACCAUGCACCGAAGCUGCGGCAGCGACGCUUAUGCGUUGUUGGGUAGGGGAGCGUUCUGUAAGCCUGCGAAGGUGGCCUGUGAGGGUUGCUGGAGGUAUCAGAAGUGCGAAUGCUGACAUAAGUAACGAUAAAGCGGGUGAAAAGCCCGCUCGCCGGAAGACCAAGGGUUCCUGUCCAACGUUAAUCGGGGCAGGGUGAGUCGACCCCUAAGGCGAGGCCGAAAGGCGUAGUCGAUGGGAAACGGGUUAAUAUUCCCGUACUUGGUGUUACUGCGAAGGGGGGACGGAGAAGGCUAUGUUGGCCGGGCGACGGUUGUCCCGGUUUAAGCGUGUAGGUGUGUGUUCCAGGUAAAUCCGGUUCACUUUAACACUGAGGCGUGACGACGAGGCACUACGGUGCUGAAGCAACAAAUGCCCUGCUUCCAGGAAAAGCCUCUAAGCAUCAGGUAACAUCAAAUCGUACCCCAAACCGACACAGGUGGUCAGGUAGAGAAUACCAAGGCGCUUGAGAGAACUCGGGUGAAGGAACUAGGCAAAAUGGUGCCGUAACUUCGGGAGAAGGCACGCUGACACGUAGGUGAAGUGAUUUACUCAUGGAGCUGAAGUCAGUCGAAGAUACCAGCUGGCUGCAACUGUUUAUUAAAAACACAGCACUGUGCAAACACGAAAGUGGACGUAUACGGUGUGACGCCUGCCCGGUGCCGGAAGGUUAAUUGAUGGGGUCAGCGCAAGCGAAGCUCCUGAUCGAAGCCCCGGUAAACGGCGGCCGUAACUAUAACGGUCCUAAGGUAGCGAAAUUCCUUGUCGGGUAAGUUCCGACCUGCACGAAUGGCGUAAUGAUGGCCAGGCUGUCUCCACCCGAGACUCAGUGAAAUUGAACUCGCUGUGAAGAUGCAGUGUACCCGCGGCAAGACGGAAAGACCCCGUGAACCUUUACUAUAGCUUGACACUGAACAUUGAGCCUUGAUGUGUAGGAUAGGUGGGAGGCUUUGAAGUGUGGACGCCAGUCUGCAUGGAGCCGACCUUGAAAUACCACCCUUUAAUGUUUGAUGUUCUAACGUGGACCCGUUACCCGGGUUGCGGACAGUGUCUGGUGGGUAGUUUGACUGGGGCGGUCUCCUCCUAAAGAGUAACGGAGGAGCACGAAGGUUGGCUAAUCCUGGUCGGACAUCAGGAGGUUAGUGCAAUGGCAUAAGCCAGCUUGACUGCGAGCGUGACGGCGCGAGCAGGUGCGAAAGCAGGUCAUAGUGAUCCGGUGGUUCUGAAUGGAAGGGCCAUCGCUCAACGGAUAAAAGGUACUCCGGGGAUAACAGGCUGAUACCGCCCAAGAGUUCAUAUCGACGGCGGUGUUUGGCACCUCGAUGUCGGCUCAUCACAUCCUGGGGCUGAAGUAGGUCCCAAGGGUAUGGCUGUUCGCCAUUUAAAGUGGUACGCGAGCUGGGUUUAGAACGUCGUGAGACAGUUCGGUCCCUAUCUGCCGUGGGCGCUGGAGAACUGAGGGGGGCUGCUCCUAGUACGAGAGGACCGGAGUGGACGCAUCACUGGUGUUCGGGUUGUCAUGCCAAUGGCACUGCCCGGUAGCUAAAUGCGGAAGAGAUAAGUGCUGAAAGCAUCUAAGCACGAAACUUGCCCCGAG
rnacentral:rRNA from 2 species